UCAAGCUAAUAAGGGCACAUGGGGGAUGCCUGGGCACCAGGUGGCGAUGAAGGACGUUGCAGGCUGCGAUAAGCCUCGGGGAGCCGCCAAGCAGGCGUUGAUCCGGGGAUUUCCGAAUGGGGAAACCCAGUACGGCGGUGCAAGCUGUCCGUACUAUCCGUUGGCAACAACGGAAGCAAACGUGGCGAAGUGACACAUCUCAGUAACCACAGGAAAGAAAAGAGCCAUCUACUCCGUCAGUAGCGGCGAGCGAACGCGGACCAGCCUAAACCCGAAAGGUGUCAAGACGGCGGUCGUUGCUUUUCGGGGGUCGUGGGGACCAAUCGUCUCGGCCCGCCAGCCGGGAGAGGAGUUACAAAGGCCAAGGUAGCCGAACCCUCUGGAACGUGGGGCCAUAGCAGGUGACAGCCCUGUAGGCGAAACCGGAAGCCCUCCUUUGAAUGGUUUCCCAAGUAAUGCCGGUCCCGGGAAAGCCGGCAUGAAUCUGGGCGGACCACCGCCUAAGGCUAAGUACAACCUGGUGACCGAUAGUGAACUAAGUAGCGCGAGCGAACGGUGAAAAGAACCCUUGAUAAGGGAGUGAAAUUAGAACCUGAAACCAUGUGCCUACGAACGGUCAAAGGGCUAUGGGGGAAACUCGGGCAACCGGGUGGAACCAAUGCCUGAUGACGUGCCUUUUGCAUAAUGAGCCCGGGAGUUAUUGGUGGAUGCGAGGUUAAGGCGGUUCGUCCCGCCGGAGCCGAAGGGAAACCGAGUGCCAAAUGCGCGAUUUAGUAUCCAUCAAUAGACCCGAAUGCCAGUGAUCUACUUAUGGGCAGGAUGAACUGCGGGUGACACCGCAGGGAGGUCCGGUAGGGCAUAACGUUGAAAAGUUAUCCCGUGAUCUGUGAGUAGGAGUAAAAGGCUAAUCAAACUGGCGAAUAGCUGGUACUCCCCGAAAUAGCUUUAGGGCUAGCCUCGGGUAAUAGCGUGUGGGGGUAGAGCUACUGAAUGGGUUUUGGGGCCCACCAGGCUACCAUACCCAACCAAACUCCGAAUACCAUACGCCGUAUCCCGGGAGUCAGAGAGGUGGGGCUAAGCUUGCUUCUCGAGAGGGAAACAGCCCAGACCAACGGCUAAGGUCCCCAAGUCCGGACUAAGUGUAAAAGGAAGUGCGGGUGCAUAGACAGCUAGGAUGUUGGCUUAGAAGCAGCCACCAUUUAAAAAGUGCGUAAUAGCUUACUAGUCGAGCACCCACGCGCCGAAAAUGAUCGGGCCUCAAGUCCGGCGCCGACGCCUUGGAUGGCACAGUGUCUUCGGACGCAGUGCCGUGGUAGGGGAGCAUUCCAUGUCGAGGAUGAAGGAGGACCGAAAGGACCUCUGGACAGCAUGGAAGAGAUUAUCCGGGCAUAAGUAGCGAGCUAAGUAGAGUGAGAAGCUCUACCGCCGAAAGCCUAAGGUUUCCUGGGGAAGGUAAUUCCGCCCAGGGUCAGUCGGCCCCUAAGGCGAGGUCGAAAGGCGUAGCUGAUGGGAAUCCGGUCAACAUUCCGGAACCGCGGACAUGAGGUUACCACCGAUGCGGGGGUGCAGGAGGUUAGGCCAUCCUGGACGAUAGAAGUCCGGCCAAGCGUGUAGGCGAGGGUCUUUGGCAAAUCCGGGACCCUGCGAAAGCAACGCCGAGACGUGAUGGGGACCCUAAUUGCGGGGGAAGUGGCUGAUACCAUGCUGACUAGAAAAGCCGCUAAGGGACGAGUGUUCGCGACCGUACUAAAACCGACACAGGUAGGCGAGUUGAGUAUACCAAGGCGCUCCGGUGACCCCUCUGGAAGGAACUAGGCAAAAUGACUCCGUAACUUCGGGACAAGGAGUGCCCUUUGCCGUGUAGGGUCUUGCAUCUGAAGCGGUAGAGGGUCGCAGAGAAUCGGGCCGGGGAACUGUUUACUAAAAACACAGGUCUGUGCUAAAGCGUUAAAGCUGAUGUAUACAGACUGACGCUUGCCCGCUGCCGGAAGGUUAAGGGAAUCGGUUAGUGGGGGCAACCCUGCGAAGCUGUGAACCGAAGCCCCGGUGAAGGGCGGCCGUAACUAUGACGGUCCUAAGGUAGCGAAGUUCCUUGUCGGGUAAGUUCCGACGCGCAUGAAUAGCGUAAUCACUUGGCCGGUGUCUCCCAGAGGAGCCGGGCGAAAUUGCAGCGGCGGUGAAGAUACCGCUUACCCGCAGAUGGACGGAAAGACCCCGUGAACCUUUACUGUAGCCUAUUAUUGGCUUUUGACCUGCCUUGCGUAGGAUAGGUGGGAGGCGCUGAAGCCCAGGCUCCGGCUUGGGCUGAGCCGACGGUGAAAUACCACUCCUGACAUGUUAGGAGCCUAACUCGGUCCCGUGAAUCCGGGCCGGGGACAGUGGUAGGUGGGCAGUUUAACUGGGGCGGUUUCCUCCCAAAGAGUAACGGAGGAGUUCUAAGGCACGCUCAGCGCGGUUGGCAAUCGCGCGACGAGUGCAAGGGCAUAAGCGUGCUCAACUGCGAGACUCAAUACGUCGAGCAGGUGUGAAAGCAGGACCUAGUGAUCCGGUGGAUUCCGAGUGGAAGGGCCAUCGCUCAUCAGACAAAAGGUACUCCGGGGAUAACAGGCUGAUCUCGCCCAAGAGUCCACAUCGACGGCGAGGUUUGGCACCUCGAUGUCGGCUCAUCGCAUCCUGGGGCUGGAGAAGGUCCCAAGGGUUCGGCUGUUCGCCGAUCAAUAGCGGUACGUGAGCUGGGUUUAGACCGGCGUGAGCCAGGUCGGUCCCUAUCCUCUGUGGGCGCUGGAGACUUGAGGGAAGGUGCUCCUAGUACGAGAGGAUCGGAGUGCACGAACCUCUGGUGUACCUGUUGUCCUACUAAGGGCAAUCGCAGGGUAGCUACGUUCGGCAGGGAUAACCGCUGAAAGCAUCUAAGCGGGAAGCCCCUCCCAAGACUAGGUCUCCGUUAAGGGUCGUGGAAGACUACCACGUUGAUAGGCGUGCUGGUGCAAGGCGGGUAACCGCUUGAGCCGAGCCGUACUAAUCGCCCGUCCGCUUGACCGC
rnacentral:rRNA from 1 species